rnacentral:rRNA from 1 species
UUAAGCGACUAAGCGUACACGGUGGAUGCCCUGGCAGUCAGAGGCGAUGAAGGACGUGCUAAUCUGCGAAAAGCGUCGGUAAGGUGAUAUGAACCGUUACAGCCGGCGAUGUCCGAAUGGGGAAACCCAGUGCAAUUCGUUGCACUAUCGUUAACUGAAUACAUAGGUUAACGAGGCGAACCGGGGGAACUGAAACAUCUAAGUACCCCGAGGAAAAGAAAUCAACCGAGAUUCCCCCAGUAGCGGCGAGCGAACGGGGAGCAGCCCAGAGUCUGAAUCAGCUUGUGUGUUAGUGGAACGGUCUGGAAAGUCCGACGGUACAGGGUGAUAGUCCCGUACACCAAAAUGCACAGGCUGUGAACUCGAAGAGUAGGGCGGGACACGUGGUAUCCUGUCUGAAUAUGGGGGGACCAUCCUCCAAGGCUAAAUACUCCUGACUGACCGAUAGUGAACCAGUACCGUGAGGGAAAGGCGAAAAGAACCCCGGCGAGGGGAGUGAAAAAGAACCUGAAACCGUGUACGUACAAGCAGUGGGAGCACCUUCGGGUGUGACUGCGUACCUUUUGUAUAAUGGGUCAGCGACUUAUAUUCUGUAGCAAGGUUAACCGUAUAGGGGAGCCGCAGGGAAACCGAGUCUUAACUGGGCGUUAAGUUGCAGGGUAUAGACCCGAAACCCGGUGAUCUAGCCAUGGGCAGGUUGAAGGUUGGGUAACACUAACUGGAGGACCGAACCGACUAAUGUUGAAAAAUUAGCGGAUGACUUGUGGCUGGGGGUGAAAGGCCAAUCAAACCGGGAGAUAGCUGGUUCUCCCCGAAAGCUAUUUAGGUAGCGCCUCGUGAACUCAUCUUCGGGGGUAGAGCACUGUUUCGGCUAGGGGGUCAUCCCGACUUACCAACCCGAUGCAAACUACGAAUACCGAAGAAUGUUAUCACGGGAGACACACGGCGGGUGCUAACGUCCGUCGUGAAGAGGGAAACAACCCAGACCGCCAGCUAAGGUCCCAAAGUCAUGGUUAAGUGGGAAACGAUGUGGGAAGGCACAGACAGCCAGGAUGUUGGCUUAGAAGCAGCCAUCAUUUAAAGAAAGCGUAAUAGCUCACUGGUCGAGUCGGCCUGCGCGGAAGAUGUAACGGGGCUAAACCAUGCACCGAAGCUGCGGCAGCGACACUAUGUGUUGUUGGGUAGGGGAGCGUUCUGUAAGCCUGCGAAGGUGACCUGUGAGGGUUGCUGGAGGUAUCAGAAGUGCGAAUGCUGACAUAAGUAACGAUAAAGCGGGUGAAAAGCCCGCUCGCCGGAAGACCAAGGGUUCCUGUCCAACGUUAAUCGGGGCAGGGUGAGUCGACCCCUAAGGCGAGGCCGAAAGGCGUAGUCGAUGGGAAACAGGUUAAUAUUCCUGUACUUGGUGUUACUGCGAAGGGGGGACGGAGAAGGCUAUGUUAGCCGGGCGACGGUUGUCCCGGUUUAAGCAUGUAGGCUGAUUGUCCAGGCAAAUCCGGAUAAUCAAGGCUGAGGUGUGAUGACGAGGCACUACGGUGCUGAAGUAACAAAUGCCCUGCUUCCAGGAAAAGCCUCUAAGCAUCAGGUAACAUUAAAUCGUACCCCAAACCGACACAGGUGGUCAGGUAGAGAAUACCAAGGCGCUUGAGAGAACUCGGGUGAAGGAACUAGGCAAAAUGGUGCCGUAACUUCGGGAGAAGGCACGCUGGUGUGUAGGUGAAGCCCCUGCGGGUGGAGCUGAGACCAGUCGAAGAUACCAGCUGGCUGCAACUGUUUAUUAAAAACACAGCACUGUGCAAACACGAAAGUGGACGUAUACGGUGUGACGCCUGCCCGGUGCCGGAAGGUUAAUUGAUGGGGUUAUCCGUAAGGAGAAGCUCUUGAUCGAAGCCCCGGUAAACGGCGGCCGUAACUAUAACGGUCCUAAGGUAGCGAAAUUCCUUGUCGGGUAAGUUCCGACCUGCACGAAUGGCGUAAUGAUGGCCAGGCUGUCUCCACCCGAGACUCAGUGAAAUUGAACUCGCUGUGAAGAUGCAGUGUACCCGCGGCAAGACGGAAAGACCCCGUGAACCUUUACUAUAGCUUGACACUGAACAUUGAGCCUUGAUGUGUAGGAUAGGUGGGAGGCUUUGAAGCGUGGACGCCAGUCUGCGUGGAGCCAACCUUGAAAUACCACCCUUUAAUGUUUGAUGUUCUAACGUUGGCCCCUGACCGGGGUUGCGGACAGUGUCUGGUGGGUAGUUUGACUGGGGCGGUCUCCUCCCAAAGCGUAACGGAGGAGCACGAAGGUUAGCUAAUCCUGGUCGGACAUCAGGAGGUUAGUGCAAUGGCAUAAGCUAGCUUGACUGCGAGCGUGACGGCGCGAGCAGGUGCGAAAGCAGGUCAUAGUGAUCCGGUGGUUCUGAAUGGAAGGGCCAUCGCUCAACGGAUAAAAGGUACUCCGGGGAUAACAGGCUGAUACCGCCCAAGAGUUCAUAUCGACGGCGGUGUUUGGCACCUCGAUGUCGGCUCAUCACAUCCUGGGGCUGAAGUAGGUCCCAAGGGUAUGGCUGUUCGCCAUUUAAAGUGGUACGCGAGCUGGGUUUAGAACGUCGUGAGACAGUUCGGUCCCUAUCUGCCGUGGGCGCUGGAGAAUUGAGGGGGGCUGCUCCUAGUACGAGAGGACCGGAGUGGACGCAUCACUGGUGUUCGGGUUGUCAUGCCAAUGGCACUGCCCGGUAGCUAAAUGCGGAAGAGAUAAGUGCUGAAAGCAUCUAAGCACGAAACUUGCCCCGAGAUGAGUUCUCCCUGAGACUUUAAGUCUCCUGAAGGAACGUUGAAGACGACGACGUUGAUAGGCCGGGUGUGUAAGCGCAGCGAUGCGUUGAGCUAACCGGUACUAAUGAACCGUGAGGCUUAACCU